rnacentral:lncRNA from 1 species
CUUAUCUGCAAAUAUUGACCAAUCACUGUAAAGUAGAGCAUGACUUGUGCCCUGUGCUGGUGUUAGAGAUGGAAUGUGAAAAGCAUCCAUUCCCUGCCCCCAGGAGCUCGCGGUUGAGUAGGGGAGGUAGACUCUAUCUAUGGAGAGGUGGUAAGAGGAAUCCAGCAGGCAUGGGGCAGCAUUUGAAUGAAGAACACACUCAUCUAUUUCACCGACCUUUAUUGAGCAUCUACUGUAUAUGAGCCACUGGCGAUCGAGAAAUUGAAAAAUCCUGUAUUUUUCCUACACAGCUGAUUCCCCAAGAGUUUUUCAAGAGCCGUCAUAGAGCAGGAGGAUGCUCGUUCUGUAUUUAUCAAAGGUAAAUUUAUCAACAAGUACAGAACACCAUGGUAGCUCAGCCGAAGAGUGACUUAAAUUGGGGGUUUGAGGUGGUUUUAGGGGAGACUUUAGGAGGACGGAAGGGAGACCUGGAGGAAAGCAGAGGCCUGAGGCAGGGAAGGAGUGUAGCCACAGCCAGGUGGAUGUGACGUAGAGGACAAUUUCCUGGCCCCUUCCCAUUGGUUGGUGAUUGGAUGGUGACAAGUGCACGUUGGGCACCCCCAGUUUGCCCACCACUGUGAUGCCUAGGCUUGGGUGAACAAGAGGAGCGUUUGGCCCAGGGGUUUGGCCUUGAGAAUCGGGCAUCUUGGCUGAUGCUUGAGACAAUCUGAAAACCCGUAGGCACUAAGCUGUGUGGUUGUGGUCCCCCGCAGUAGGGACCCGGAGCAGGGAGCUGGAGUCGUGGCAGGAACCUUCCCCGCGGAGAUGAUUGAAGGUUGGCGGGGCCCUUUCUCACUAUCCUUGGUGUUGGCUCUGCUCACAGGCUGAUGCCGAAAGGGCUCUUGCAGUGUGGGCCACCACAAGCAGAUAAAGCAUCUUAUAGCAAGAGGAGUGAAUGAUAUCUUAUAUAGUAUAUAUAUUUCUCUUCCUUAGCCCCUUAGGAGUGAGUGAGAGCCUUCCCCAGCAGCCGCUCCCCAUCCCAGCAGCUUCUUUUCAAUGUCAAUUGAGAAUUGGGUUAAAAUCUCCAACUAUGUGCCCAUGAGAUGUGUUAGUCAGCUAUUGGUGCAUAACAAAUAACCCACAGACUAGAAGUUUUAAACAACAGCUCUCCCUUAUCUUUCAGGUUCUGUGGGUCAGGAAUUCAGGGACAACUUUGCUGGGGGAUUCUGGCUUGGAGUCUUGGGAGGUUGCAGGGGGCCGUGGUCUAAAGCUGGGCUAGAGGAGCUGCCUUCAAGAUGGCUCACUUCUGUGCUGUUGGUGGGAGGCCUGUGCCUUCAUAUUGAAUGUCCUCACGUGGCAGCUGGCUUACGCCAGAGUGAGCAUCCAAGAGAGAGAAGGGAGCCCCCAUGCCUGAGCUGAUGCCAUCUCAGAAACCGCAGAGGGUCACCUCUGUCACAGUCCGUUUGUUAGAGGUGAAUCACCAAGUACACGGCAAAGAUUCGACUCCACCUUUUGAAGGUGGAGGUGUAAAAAAAAAUGUGGACUUAUUUUAACCACCCUAGGGGUUUGUCUUAGGAGAAUGUUCUAGUGGUCAAGGUUGGAGCCCAUGUUGGGAGCCGAGCCUGAGAACCUUCGUGGAGUCCUACUGUGUGCAUCUCAUUGUGUAGGCAGCAGUCAUACAUGCCCGGGGAUCAUGGGGUACAGGAAGUGUGAGAUGUUUGGGGACUAGGUCACCGUAUAGAGAACUAAGGGGGAGGCUCAGUGCUGGGCAGAGUGCGGAUACAGGAGGAAGGAUUGCUUCAAAUUAGCACGUUCAUGGAGGGACCUCACCAAGGACCUGCCACGAACCGGGCUCCACAGGAUGGACGGGUUUACCCAUUCAGGGAUGGGAGCUGGAGUUGGGGAAAAUCUGAUCAUACUACAGGUGUUCAUCAGGCAUUUAUGGAGCACCUGCUGUGUGCUAGACACUGCACAUAUAUUAUCUUUAAUCUUCAUGAGAAUUUCCAGGAGGUGAGCACUAUGUCCCCAUUUUUGCAGAUGAAGAAACAAGCCCAAAGACGUGGUGACCCCUCUGAGACGGAGAGGCCCUCACCUAAGAGACAUGUUCAUUUCACAGAACCUGGAGACAGCUCUUGCCUUAGGAGCUUGCUGGCUUCUUCAAAGCAGGGCUUUUAUAUAACCAUCAGCUUCAGGGAGCAGGCAGCAGAGUGACGAAUCUCUUUACAGACGCCUUGUCAUUUUAUUGAAAAUUUUACAGAAGAGGCUCCUUCAUUGUCAAGUCCACACCCCACCCGAUACUUUGAAAAUAUGAUUCCAAAUGUUUUAAGAGUCACUUUGCACACCUCUCCCCUGGAACUGGCACUCUGUGCACUCCUGUGGGCUGCUUCCCCAAGUUGAUGCCCCCCGCCUCAUGUGUGGACAUGAUUGCGUUCACGUCCACAGCUGCUGUGGCAGAGCCAUCCCGGGCUCAGCACGUGAGACAUAAAGCCCAAGAGGUUUUCCUUUUCGUUCUUGGUGACAGGGUACAAAUGUCUCCCUUGCUUCUCCCUCCAGAACGUGGACACCUUAACAGCAACAACUGUAUCUCCGCAGCCUUAAGUGGCCUCUGAGAUCGCAGAUGUCAGUAACUAUUUGCUGAGUUAAUAGAUGGUCUCCAUUUAAAUGACUCUUGACCAGAGAGCAGAAAUUCGGCCAAGACACAGGGAGGGAGCUUGAAAAGAAGGGACGAUGGCGGGGGUGGGGGUUUCACACUCGUCAAUACGUAAAAACAAAAUAAAAACUCUUGGGCCCAAGACAGAAUAGACGGCAUCAAGAACAAAAUCUUUCCAUCUGAAAAUGCCUGGCUCUUGCGUUUGGGUCCUUUUUGGGUGCGUGGAUUUGCAGGUGACAGGAGGAAGUGCAGGCAGGUACCCAAACGAGUACCCCGUGGACCCUCCCUGAUCCCUGCACAGCCAGCCGGAGAGCAGCAGCCGACCACCUCUGGGGGAGAGGCACCUCCGUCCUGUCAUCAUCUCGAGCACAGAGGGGACAGGAACGAGCGCGGGUCUAUUAUAUUUUUUGCCAGAACCGACAGUAGCAUUGGUGAUGGGAGAAAUGUCACGGUGUAACAUUUAAAGAUUAAAAACAAAAAUCCACCGAGAGCAGGAGGCUGCCUUGGGAAGUGUCUGGAGAGGAUUCCUUCCUGUUCACGGGCAGCCCAGCCUGCACCCUGCCUGUGCCCUGUCUCCAAGGCCCGGGUCCAUUUCCUGGAUACUCCACGAGCUUCUGCUUUAACUGGCCACAUCAUCAAACAAUGAGAACCCCGCAUGAAUGAGGCAGGGCGCCUGGGAAUCGCAGAUGAGGUGAGACCUACGCCUCAUCCCCCAAAUAAACGCGGGGCAUUGACUUU